rnacentral:rRNA from 1 species
CGGCGAAGUGAGCGGCAAAAGCUCAAAUUUGAAAUCUGGUACCUUCGGUGCCCGAGUUGUAAUUUGGAGAGGGCAACUUUGGGGCCGUUCCUUGUCUAUGUUCCUUGGAACAGGACGUCAUAGAGGGUGAGAAUCCCGUGUGGCGAGGAGUGCGGUUCUUUGUAAAGUGCCUUCGAAGAGUCGAGUUGUUUGGGAAUGCAGCUCUAAGUGGGUGGUAAAUUCCAUCUAAAGCUAAAUAUUGGCGAGAGACCGAUAGCGAACAAGUACAGUGAUGGAAAGAUGAAAAGAACUUUGAAAAGAGAGUGAAAAAGUACGUGAAAUUGUUGAAAGGGAAGGGCAUUUGAUCAGACAUGGUGUUUUGUGCCCUCUGCUCCUUGUGGGUAGGGGAAUCUCGCAUUUCACUGGGCCAGCAUCAGUUUUGGUGGCAGGAUAAAUCCAUAGGAAUGUAGCUUGCCUCGGUAAGUAUUAUAGCCUGUGGGAAUACUGCCAGCUGGGACUGAGGACUGCGACGUAAGUCAAGGAUGCUGGCAUAAUGGUUAUAUGCCGC